CGGACGGGUGAGUAACACGUGGAUAACCUACCUAUAAGACUGGGAUAACUUCGGGAAACCGGAGCUAAUACCGGAUAAUAUAUUGAACCGCAUGGUUCAAUGGUGAAAGACGGUUUUGCUGUCACUUAUAGAUGGAUCCGCGCCGCAUUAGCUAGUUGGUAAGGUAACGGCUUACCAAGGCAACGAUGCGUAGCCGACCUGAGAGGGUGAUCGGCCACACUGGAACUGAGACACGGUCCAGACUCCUACGGAGGCAGCAGCU
rnacentral:rRNA from 1 species